UUUCGCAAUGCCCGAAAGGGUGACGAAGCGACGCCGCGUGUGGGAAGAAGGCCUUCGGGUUGUAAACCACUGUCGGGAGUUAGGAAAUGUAAGGGUGCUAAUAGUAUCCUUACUUGACUAAGGCUCCGGAGGAAGCCACGGCUAACUCUGUGCCAGCAGCCGCGGUAAUACAGAGGCGGCAAGCGUUGUUCGGAAUUAUUGGGCGUAAAGAGCACAUAGGCGGCCUUGUAAGUCAGUUGUGAAAGCCUUCUGCUUAACGGAAGAACAGCAGCUGAUACUGCAAGGCUAGAGUGCGGAAGGGGAGAGUGGAACUUCUGGUGGAGCGGUGAAAUGCGUAGAUAUCAGAAGGAACACCGGCGGCGAAGGCGACUCUCUGGUCCGUAACUGACGCUGAGUGUGCGAAAGCUAGGGGAGCAAACGGGAUUAGAUACCCCGGUAGUCCUAGCCGUAAACGAUGGGCACUAAGUAGAGGGGUUUUA
rnacentral:rRNA from 1 species